GUAAAAGGCAAAAACAACGUAAAAGAGUCAUGAAAUAAAAUUACUACAUAAAAUGUAUAAUAUUUAAUCGUAAAUGUAUUUGUGCUUUAAAUCUGAAAUAAUACUACAGGUAUUUAGCAUAUCCUUUCACUUUGUACCCCUUCUCUGGCGGCACAACCGCAGGGUCCAUUCUCCGUCUUCGCCAUGUUCGGCACGUUUUCGCUCAAUCUGUUGAAGUUGAAGUUAAUAGUAAGUCCUUUCAGAAAAGAUGAUGGAAUAGUUGAAACUGUUACAAUUUUAUCGAUCGUUUAGCAUGGUCGAGACAGAGGUCAAAAGGGACAAUGGCACAGCUAGGAGCAAAAAACGUCACGCAUACAGAGAUACAAGCUUUUACACAGCGAUAAGAAGUUAUAUAUUUCAGUUUCUUAUUGAAAUAACAAGAAUAUUGAAUUGAGAGAAGAUAAUUUUAAAGUAAUUUCAAUCUGGAAGGCUUGCUACCGAGAAAAGGCUACUCUAAUACUCAAAAUGAAGACUACACCAUCCAUCAUUUUUAAGCAAAGAAAGAUAUACUUCCUGAAGUCUUUCUUCAAAAAAAUGAUGAGAAAUGUUUUCAUCUUCCACUGAUGGAUCCACUUCUCUUUAAUGUCCUGAUGAAGUGUGGAAAAGAGUGUCGACAGUUUUCAAGAGAGAGGACAACUAUGGAAUUCUGGAAAUAUUUGUAUCUUCCAGUGAUGAGUCAACUUCCCUUUAAUGUCCUGAUGAAAUUUGGGAAAUGAGCAUCAACAGUUUUCAAGAUUUAUUUCGUAGUCCUAGUGGAUUUUGGAAAUGAAUGUUGAUAGUUUUCAAGAUUGGUCUACCAAUGAGAAAGAAUGGAUGGUAAAUUUCAUGGUACUGAGCAACCAAUGCCUACAAUGCUAUAGCUUUUCCUGGACUUCAUUCUAGUUUUGAUGUUGACUCUUCACCUUUUUUUCACCAAUGAAGGUUGAACGGGAUACUACUGAAACAACAAAUUAUCUGCAGUAGCAUUGCUUUUCCAGGAUUUUAUUCACACCUGUAAUCUUUGGAACAUCGCAGUCUGUAGUUUCUUAAGAUCAACGGUGGAGAA